rnacentral:rRNA from 1 species
AGCGUACACGGUGGAUGCCCUGGCAGUCAGAGGCGAUGAAGGACGUGCUAAUCUGCGAUAAGCGUCGGUAAGGUGAUAUGAACCGUUAUAACCGGCGAUUUCCGAAUGGGGAAACCCAGUGUGAUUCGUCACACUAUCAUUAACUGAAUCCAUAGGUUAAUGAGGCGAACCGGGGGAACUGAAACAUCUAAGUACCCCGAGGAAAAGAAAUCAACCGAGAUUCCCCCAGUAGCGGCGAGCGAACGGGGAGCAGCCCAGAGCCUGAAUCAGUGUGUGUGUUAGUGGAAGCGUCUGGAAAGGCGCGCGAUACAGGGUGACAGCCCCGUACACAAAAAUGCACAUGCUGUGAGCUCGAUGAGUAGGGCGGGACACGUGGUAUCCUGUCUGAAUAUGGGGGGACCAUCCUCCAAGGCUAAAUACUCCUGACUGACCGAUAGUGAACCAGUACCGUGAGGGAAAGGCGAAAAGAACCCCGGCGAGGGGAGUGAAAAAGAACCUGAAACCGUGUACGUACAAGCAGUGGGAGCACGCUUAGGCGUGUGACUGCGUACCUUUUGUAUAAUGGGUCAGCGACUUAUAUUCUGUAGCAAGGUUAACCGAAUAGGGGAGCCGAAGGGAAACCGAGUCUUAACUGGGCGUUAAGUUGCAGGGUAUAGACCCGAAACCCGGUGAUCUAGCCAUGGGCAGGUUGAAGGUUGGGUAACACUAACUGGAGGACCGAACCGACUAAUGUUGAAAAAUUAGCGGAUGACUUGUGGCUGGGGGUGAAAGGCCAAUCAAACCGGGAGAUAGCUGGUUCUCCCCGAAAGCUAUUUAGGUAGCGCCUCGUGAAUUCAUCUCCGGGGGUAGAGCACUGUUUCGGCAAGGGGGUCAUCCCGACUUACCAACCCGAUGCAAACUGCGAAUACCGGAGAAUGUUAUCACGGGAGACACACGGCGGGUGCUAACGUCCGUCGUGAAGAGGGAAACAACCCAGACCGCCAGCUAAGGUCCCAAAGUCAUGGUUAAGUGGGAAACGAUGUGGGAAGGCCCAGACAGCCAGGAUGUUGGCUUAGAAGCAGCCAUCAUUUAAAGAAAGCGUAAUAGCUCACUGGUCGAGUCGGCCUGCGCGGAAGAUGUAACGGGGCUAAACCAUGCACCGAAGCUGCGGCAGCGACGCUUAUGCGUUGUUGGGUAGGGGAGCGUUCUGUAAGCCUGUGAAGGUGUGCUGUGAGGCAUGCUGGAGGUAUCAGAAGUGCGAAUGCUGACAUAAGUAACGAUAAAGCGGGUGAAAAGCCCGCUCGCCGGAAGACCAAGGGUUCCUGUCCAACGUUAAUCGGGGCAGGGUGAGUCGACCCCUAAGGCGAGGCCGAAAGGCGUAGUCGAUGGGAAACAGGUUAAUAUUCCUGUACUUGGUGUUACUGCGAAGGGGGGACGGAGAAGGCUAUGUUGGCCGGGCGACGGUUGUCCCGGUUUAAGCGUGUAGGCUGGUUUUCCAGGCAAAUCCGGAAAAUCAAGGCUGAGGCGUGAUGACGAGGCACUACGGUGCUGAAGCAACAAAUGCCCUGCUUCCAGGAAAAGCCUCUAAGCAUCAGGUAACAUCAAAUCGUACCCCAAACCGACACAGGUGGUCAGGUAGAGAAUACCAAGGCGCUUGAGAGAACUCGGGUGAAGGAACUAGGCAAAAUGGUGCCGUAACUUCGGGAGAAGGCACGCUGAUAUGUAGGUGAAGUCCCUUGCGGAUGGAGCUGAAAUCAGUCGAAGAUACCAGCUGGCUGCAACUGUUUAUUAAAAACACAGCACUGUGCAAACACGAAAGUGGACGUAUACGGUGUGACGCCUGCCCGGUGCCGGAAGGUUAAUUGAUGGGGUUAGCGGUAACGCGAAGCUCUUGAUCGAAGCCCCGGUAAACGGCGGCCGUAACUAUAACGGUCCUAAGGUAGCGAAAUUCCUUGUCGGGUAAGUUCCGACCUGCACGAAUGGCGUAAUGAUGGCCAGGCUGUCUCCACCCGAGACUCAGUGAAAUUGAACUCGCUGUGAAGAUGCAGUGUACCCGCGGCAAGACGGAAAGACCCCGUGAACCUUUACUAUAGCUUGACACUGAACAUUGAGCCUUGAUGUGUAGGAUAGGUGGGAGGCUUUGAAGUGUGGACGCCAGUCUGCAUGGAGCCGACCUUGAAAUACCACCCUUUAAUGUUUGAUGUUCUAACGUUGACCCGUAAUCCGGGUUGCGGACAGUGUCUGGUGGGUAGUUUGACUGGGGCGGUCUCCUCCUAAAGAGUAACGGAGGAGCACGAAGGUUGGCUAAUCCUGGUCGGACAUCAGGAGGUUAGUGCAAUGGCAUAAGCCAGCUUGACUGCGAGCGUGACGGCGCGAGCAGGUGCGAAAGCAGGUCAUAGUGAUCCGGUGGUUCUGAAUGGAAGGGCCAUCGCUCAACGGAUAAAAGGUACUCCGGGGAUAACAGGCUGAUACCGCCCAAGAGUUCAUAUCGACGGCGGUGUUUGGCACCUCGAUGUCGGCUCAUCACAUCCUGGGGCUGAAGUAGGUCCCAAGGGUAUGGCUGUUCGCCAUUUAAAGUGGUACGCGAGCUGGGUUUAGAACGUCGUGAGACAGUUCGGUCCCUAUCUGCCGUGGGCGCUGGAGAAUUGAGGGGGGCUGCUCCUAGUACGAGAGGACCGGAGUGGACGCAUCACUGGUGUUCGGGUUGUCAUGCCAAUGGCACUGCCCGGUAGCUAAAUGCGGAAGAGAUAAGUGCUGAAAGCAUCUAAGCACGAAACUUGCCCCGAGAUGAGUUCUCCCUGACUCCUUGA